GGUCACAAUCAACAUUCAUUGCUGUCGGUGGGUUGAACUGUGUAGACAAGCUCACUGAACAAUGAAUGCAACUGUGGCCC
ensembl:miRNA